rnacentral:tRNA from 1 species
GCCAGCAUGGCGUAGUGAUUUGAGUGUUAGACUAACAGCUCUGGAGAUCAGGGUUCAAUUCCCACCUUGGCC